CAAUGAGGCCGUGGAGGUGGCUACAACAUCCCCAGGUGCUCCCCUCCCAGCCGCCAGGCACAAACACACGCUCCUGCUGCUGAUGGGCCAGCGACGGCUGCUGGUGCUUCUUGCACCCAGCUUAAAAACGAGGGGACUUGGCUGUCAAACAGUCUCCAUUGAAGAGAAUUCAGCAUUCUAUAGGCUUUGAGCCAUAGAAAAUAACAAAGGACUGAGAAAUUCCUGGCAGCAGUAGUCACUCGUUACUCAGGGUAUCCCAGCUGUGCUCUCUCCUCACCGGGCUAAAACCAUGGGCCCUGUAAUGCAUUGUGGAUCCCGACUCUUCUGCUUCAGGUCUGCCAGCCGGGGCAGUCGCUGGAUCCACAGCUCCCCACCUAAGGACAAGGUGGGACUGCUGGAAACAAUCAUUGGAUUCUCAGCAUUUUCACUGGCACUUCUGGGACCAGCGGGAUGGUUCCUGUGCCACCUUUCAAGCUAUAAAAAGAAAUAGAAAACAUCCCUUAAAAAUUAAGAUCUAAAGGCUACAAUUAAUGGUAAUACUCCAAAUUUGGACUCUCUUGAAAAUCCCUGUUCCCACACUGUCAGCCAUCCCAUGGACCAGGUCCCAGAAAGCUUUUACAGAUACUGUAGACCUGCACCCAGAUAUACAAUGGUGUAGUGAUACAAAAUAGUGGCAGGUCUGCUCUGCCACCCCCUGCUGCGUUGGGCCAGCCUGGAUCUGUCAUCAAGUGCUGCGAGAAGUGGAAGAUUGAUGAGGAGGACUGUAAACACACUCAAGUGACUUGCAGUUUGGCUGUUGAAAAACACAUAUAUCAUACUAAUUGUUGUUUGACGUUGUGUUUUAGGCAAGUUGAACAUCUGUGGCUAGGAAACAUAGGCCUGUGGUAGACUUAGAGGCGCCCUAUCAAACAUGCUUGAGAAUCUUGCCCUCCUGCGGGCAAGAUUAAAGCACAGUGGUAAAUUAUACUUGUGUGAAUCCCUGAAAUGCAGGAAAAAACAGCAGGUUUGCUGAUCCUCCACCAUGGACCAAGCUUUGCAGUGCCUGUGUUCCCACUUGUGUGCUUUUCCUGUCUGCUUCUUUGGUGAUCCCUGGUCGGUGAGAUAAGAAAAAUGAGUUUGCUCUUUGCCUUUCAUCCAUGGUUUUGUCAUUGUUUGAGUCCUGUUUGCACCAGCUCAUACAGGUACCAUCAAAAGUUUAAAGUAAAUAAAGAGGAAAAAAUACAGAAAAAAAAUUUAUAGUCAUCUCAGACUAAACCUCUGAGAAUUUAGGAAAGUUUUCUUGAGAGUUUCUCUUAAAUCUUUACAUGUGUUCUUUUGGUGUGUUCCUCUUCCACCGGGAUGUUUUUCUGCAGGUAAUGAUUGUCAGGUAUUUCAAUUUAUUUUCAGUUUUUAGAUUAAGAUUUUUGACCUUUGAGAGAUUCUCCAAUGAGUGCUAUUUGCAAUUAUUAUGAUAAAUAUUUUGAAGUAUAGACUGAAUUUGAGAAAAGUAUGGUAAAUAACACUUGUUAUGCCAUGUUACAUGUGUAAUAAAAUGUCUUCUAAUGAUUUCAUGUCUGUCUUGCAAGAAAAUACAGAAUGUGAACCUUUUGUGAUGCUUGAGGAUUAGUUGUGAUGCUUAAGUAUGAGCAGAAUAGAAUUUAAAAUUCCAUUAAGUAAUUUGUGGUAUCUAAUAUCAAAGCAGAUCCUGAAAGUAGGGCUGUGAAUGUGUGAAAGUGUAUAUUCUUGCUGUACUUCUAAAGUAUGAUUUUCCAAUAAAUUGUCUGAGUUCCUUUCA